AUUGCUAUUUUCAUCGGCCUAUCUAUACCCCAUUGUUUACAUACCCUGUUGCUUCCACUGAACAGGCCAACUCUGUUCUGCUUAAUUAAGCCUCAGACAGUGAUAUAUCAUGUAUUUUGCAUGGAUUUCUGGGACGAGCUGUUGUUUUAUGCAGCUGUCUGUAAUGUCUGGAUCAUUUGGAAAAGUUGUUUUUGAUUAAGCAACCUUCCAUAAUGAGGCGGCCCUCUGGCUAUUGCUAGAGAGUGUCAGUGGCAAGCCAAAACCAAAACCUAAACCUGAACUUUGUUAUCAAGUCUGAAUCUUUAUAAUUUUUAUAAAACUUUCAACAACGGAUCUCUAGGCUCUUGCAUCGAUGAAGAACGCAGCAAAAUGCGAUACGUAAUGCGAAUUGCAGAUUCUCGUGAGUCAUUGAAUUUUUGAACGCAUAUUGCGCCUUAUGGUAUUCCAUAAGGCAUGCCUGUCUGAGCGUCAGCUCCCCCCCUCUCAAGCAUUUUGCUUGGAUUACUUUGGAAAAGCUGUUUAUUUUCAAGCAGCCUUCCACAAAGACAUAGGCAGUAUGGAUGUUUCCAAGCUGAACGUAAUAAUUAAACCUGUCACGUUUGUUUUGAAGCUCUUGUACUUGCCUUUAACCCACAUUUUAUUUUGGGUGACCUCAGAUCAGGUAGGGAUACCCGCUGAACUUAAGCAUAUCAAUAAGCGGAGGAAAAGAAACCAACAGGGAUUGCCUUAGUAACGGCGAGUGAAGCGGCAAAAGCUCAGAUUUGAAAUCUGGCGUCUUUGGCGUCCGAGUUGUAAUCUGUAGAGGAGUGUUCGAGUGUGGAUUUGGCUUAAGUUCCUUGGAACAGGGCGUCAUAGAGGGUGAGAACCCCGUUAGCGGCCUAUGUCUUAUGCUCAUGUGAACCUUCUUCGACGAGUCGAGUUGUUUGGGAAUGCAGCUCUAAAUUGGUGGUAAAUUCCAUCUAAAGCUAAAUACUGGCAAGAGACCGAUAGCGCACAAGUAGAGUGAUCGAAAGAUGAAAAGAACUCUGAACAGAGAGUUAAAUAGUACGUGAAAUUGUUGAAAGGGAAGCACUUGCAACCAGACAUGCUUGUAGUUGAUCAGCCUCCAUUCUUGGUGGUGCACUCUUCUACAGGUGGGUCAGCAUCAGUUACAAUGAUGGGAUAAAGACUUUGGGAAUGUAGCUUCUUUCGGGGAGUGUUAUAGCCUGAGGUGUAAUACUAUUUGAUGUGACUGAGGACCGC
rnacentral:rRNA from 1 species